GUGCUUCUUUGGCAGCACAUAUACUACAAUUGGAACAAUACAGAGAUUAUUAGCAUGGCCCCUGCACAAGGAUGACAUGUAAAUUCAUGAAAUAUUCCAUGUUUUC
ensembl:snRNA U6 U6 spliceosomal RNA